rnacentral:misc_RNA from 1 species
GAUGAAGAACGCAGUGAAAUGCGAUAAGUAGUGUGAAUUGCAGAAUUCAGUGAAUCAUCGAAUCUUUGAACGCACAUUGCGCCCCUUGGUAUUCCAUGGGGCAUGCCUGUUCGAGCGUCAUCUACACCCUCAAGCUCUGCUUGGUGUUGGGCGUCUGUCCCGCCUUUGCGCGUGGACUCGCCCCAAAUUCAUUGGCAGCGGUCCUUGCCUCCUCUCGCGCAGCACAUUUGCGCUUCUCGAGGUGCGCGGGCCGCGUCCACGAAGCAACUAUUACCGUCUUUGACCUCGGAUCAGGUAGGGAUACCCGCUGAACUUAAGCAUAUCAAUAAGCGGAGGA